rnacentral:rRNA from 1 species
AACGUAGGACGCAAGCGUUAUCCGGAGUUACUGGGCGUAAAGCGCGGGCAGGCGGUCACUCAAGUCUGAUGUGAAAUCUCGCCGCUCAACGGGGAGCAGCCAUUGGAAACUGGGCGACUGGAGUCUGGCAGAGGUAGGCGGAAUUCCGGGUGGAGUGGUGAAAUGCGUAGAUAUCGGGAGGAACACCAGUGGCGAAGGCGACUACCUGGCCUGUUCUUGACGCUGAGGCGCGAAAGCUAGGGGAGCAAACGGG